rnacentral:lncRNA from 1 species
AAUAAUGUAAUUGUGAGAAGGACAUCUUUAGACCUACAUCGAUUAUGAGUCAAGAGGAAGUAUGAUUUAUAUAGAUUGAAACAUUCUCUCCCACGUGAGGCAUCUUUUAAAGGACAAAACUAUGAAGCUCUAAAUGACCAAGACCCAUUGAAACCUAAGGUUCAUUGAAACCUAAAGAUGGUUAUGAGCCAAAGCGAGCAAUACCUAACGUAUACGGGCACUGAGUCAACCCAACCAUCCAAGCUAUUCGAUUCCUUGAUUUAUGACCGCAAUAUUGGCACUGUCUGUGAAAAAAAUCUCAUACCCACACGCAUAUACUCUCCCUUGACUGGGGGCAAUGUUGUAGUUGUGGGAAGGACAUCUUUAGUCUAAUAUCGGUUAAGAAUCAAGAGAGAGUAUGGCUUACAUGGAUUGAAAUCUUCUCUCUCAAAUGAGGUACCUUUUAAAGGACAAAACUGUGAGGCUCUAAAUGACCACAACCCACUGAAAUCUAAAGAUGGUCAUGAGCUAAAGUGGACAAUACCUCACGUAUGCGGAUAUGAAGUUAACUCAACUAUCCGAGCUAUUCGAUCGCUUGAUCCAUGACCGCAACUAUAAGAAAUAACAAA